rnacentral:lncRNA from 1 species
ACAUCUUCUUUAUCUUNCACUGGGUCAGGACCUUUCCAUUGUCCUGUUAGAAUAUCUUUCCAAAGUACUUUAGGCUUAUGUACAUUUUUUGGAUACAUAUGCCUUUCCGCAGCACUUAAGUCCUGAUGAAUCUAAAUUUUAAAAAGUUUAGAGUAAAAAGCGUUAUUUUAAGUUUAUCUUUGGGGGAUAUAUACCCCCUUCCAAUUCCCUCUUUUUGCUUUAAUAAGUAUAUGUCUGUAUCUAAUAGUUGUCUUAGCUUUUUGCGUUUUCUAUCUGAAAUACCUUACUUGACAUUUUCAACCAUUUUUUAUCUUAUUUCUAUCUUUUAAUUUUUUUCUAAGGUUUGUAUAUUUACCCUUAGUUGCUUAUUUUUCUCCUAGUUUUCUUGUUUCCUAUUUUGUGGGUUUAAAAUUAUUGUCUUCCUACAUCUUUUCUAUCUUCGUAUAUCUUUUAU